CAAAUGUACUUAAUUAAUUUGUACUAAAUAUUUUUUUUAUAUAGCACACAAAUAGGUGUUCCUGGUGGUAAAACUGGAAAUAUGUUUAUUAAUGUUCCAAUUGAAGUUACAUGUUACCAACCUGAAACAGUCGGAUGUAUGUAAUAUAUUUGUUUUAUUAUGUUUACCUAUUUUUGUUUAAUUAUUCAUUUAAAAAUAUCCUUUUAUAUAUAAUUAGUAUUAUUAGUAUUAGUAUUAGUAGUCAUUUAUAGUCUUUAUUAUUAAUUUAUAAUAUAAAUAAUAAGAAAAAAAUGUAUCCACCUCAAAUAUCUUUAUAAUAGAAUUAACUCAAAUGUUAAAGUUAGUUUAUAGAACUCCAUGUGUAAAUAGCAUAUACAUUAUUUUAAUAGUAUCUAGGUGUAUUUCACAUUUCUAAAAUAUUUUCGACUAUGGGAGAUUAUCUUUCUAAAUAUAAUCUAUUACUAUAAUUAAAAAUAAAUAUUUGUUGGAAAAUAAAGUAGGAUAGAAGAAGUGAGGAAGACCAAAAAAGAAAUAGUUGGUUACUAUUGAUAAAAGAUGGUAGGUAUAUCAGGAUGAUGUAGGGAUCAGGUCAAGUGGUGGAAGUAUAGGGUAAUUGGCCCCAAAUAGUUGAGAUGGUGGCAAAACAGAAGAAAAAAUAUAUUAAAUAGGUUCAAAUAUAUAAAUUAAUGCAUGUAUAGGUAGUAAUUUGUACUUAAUUUUUCUUAUUAGUGAGCUUGUGCCAAAAAACAGUAGCCGUUGGACAAAAAUGUCAAGAACCCAUUGCUGAGCUAGUACAAAUAGAAGAGGCAUCAUCAAAAAUCUCAGACCUUUUGGAUGUAGUGAUAUCUUACAUUGAUAAGGUUUUAGCAUCAAGUGACUCUAUCAUAGCUGAAAACAGUCAUAUUGGCCGUAUGUUACUUGAUCUUAUGCAAAGUGUUCCUCAUGUAUCGCCGGAACAAUUUGAAGAAAUGUUCAACUCCAAUGUCAAGGUAUACAGUUUUAACUAUUUUAUCUCAUUAAAAUGUUAAUAACAACAUUUACAUUUUUUUUUUUUAGGAUUUAUUGAUGGUUAUUACUUUGUCUCAGCUGACCAAGACUCAAUUAGAGCUCAACGAAAAACUUACACUACUCAGUUUGUCUUAAGUAUCAAUAUAACCAAUUUCUUUUGUUCAGUUUACCAUUUGCAUUAUAAUCUAACAAAAACUAUUUUUUUGGAAUUUUGAUUAUCUAUAGCCAAAGUAAAUUAUAUUGUUCUGCACUGCUGUACUGGAAUAAAUUCAAUAAAAGAUAUAAAAGUAAAACAAAUUUAC
rnacentral:lncRNA from 1 species